rnacentral:tRNA from 1 species
GAGGUUGUGGCUCAGUGGUAGAGUGCUCGCCUAGCACAUGCGAGGCCCUGGGUUCGAUCCCCAGCACCACA